ACAGUUUGGCACAGGAUUCAUUAUUAGAAGGCAUACUUCUCUAUUUGUUUAACGUAUAUAACUCUUCUUUCUGCAGGUGGAUUGAAAGCUCUUCAGAGCCUAGCACAAUGUGAACACAGCAGGCUUUUGCUCAUGUCUAAGAAUUAUGAUGUUUUAUUUUCAGCAUUGUACUGAGUUCUACUGCUCAGCUUCCUGAGGUUUUCA
rnacentral:lncRNA from 1 species